AAUAGAUACCCAGGUAGUCCACCCCGUAAACGUUGGGAACUAGUUGUGGGGUCCUUUCCACGGAUUCCGUGACGCAGCUAACGCAUUAAGUUCCCCGCCUGGGGAGUACGGCCGCAAGGCUAAAACUCAAAGGAAUUGACGGGGACCCGCACAAGCGGCGGAGCAUGCGGAUUAAUUCGAUGCAACGCGAAGAACCUUACCAAGGCUUGACAUACACCAGAACACCCUAGAAAUAGGGGACUCUUUGGACACUGGUGAACAGGUGGUGCAUGGUUGUCGUCAGCUCGUGUCGUGAGAUGUUGGGUUAAGUCCCGCAACGAGCGCAACCCUCGUUCUAUGUUGCCAGCACGUAAUGGUGGGAACUCAUGGGAUACUGCCGGGGUCAACUCGGAGGAAGGUGGGGAUGACGUCAAAUCAUCAUGCCCCUUAUGUCUUGGGCUUCACGCAUGCUACAAUGGCCGGUACAAAGGGCUGCAAUACCGUGAGGUGGAGCGAAUCCCAAAAAGCCGGUCCCGAGUUCGGAUUGAGGUCUGCAACUCGACCUC
rnacentral:rRNA from 1 species